ensembl:lncRNA
CUCAGUUCAGCUGUUGGUUUAGGGGUCAGAGCUCUAAGUUCCGAGGCGGCAGACAGCUCUCCUCUGGCAUUCCGACUCUGAUCAGUUGAUCUUGGCUGCCUAGACCAACAGUCAGAGGGCUUCUCAGACUAUAUGCAGGAUUAAUGGAAAGGAUGCCCCGAGCCAGAGAAGGUGUCUGCCGUUGAUUCCGGAUUGAGAGGGGAGAGCACGUGAUUCUAGAAGUGUGCUCUUUUGCCUGGAACAUUGCCUGAGCAGGGUCCGCUGGGGAGGACUCGGAGGUCCUGACUCAAGUCUGAGAUGAAGAUCUUUUCACCAUCUGAGCCACCUUGGAAGCCCCAAAAGAAGAUGCUAUCUAUGUGUAAAGGUGGAGGAAAGGAAUCCAGGCAGAGGAUACAUGAGCCAGGAAAGGACCUGAUGAGUUCCAGCCAAGGAAACCACUGAAUUAAGAUAAGGAGUUUUUAAAAACUAUCGCAGAGGUUCAGUUCUAGCUGCAAUCAAGUGAGCACACUGACGCAUUCCACCCUCUUCCUCCCACUGACUGCAGCGAUGAAACCUGCAUACACUAACUGAAGCAUCUGAGGGCUCUGAAGGUGAAUAGUAGCGGUCAGAUUGCAGAAGAGGCCCAAGAUGAAACCAAGUCUGGUUACCAUAAAGGGAAGAGGCUGUUUUGGAAUGAUGCUGCAUAGCCCGUAGAUACUGUAGGAAACCACGAGAGCAAUCUGCAUAGAAAACGGGGAUGUUGCUAAGAGAGUCUGAGCCCCGGCAUCAGGUCAGAGCCCAGUCCAGACAUCCCUGCUGCCUCUGCUGGGUCCUGCAUGGAAAUCACUGCCACCAUGGACCAUCAGCGCAGCCACUGCCUUCGCUUCCUCAUGGCACCCACUCUAUGCAAAUCCAGGAACAAAGGCAUUCAACUAGAGGAGCCCACAGCUUUGCUGUUGGGUUGAAGAGGUCAAGAGGAGGAGGUUUUGUUGAGGAGGUCAUGAGGAGGACCUCCAGCUGGGAGGUAAGAAAUGCUGGGUUUUCAACCAAUCAACUGAAUAUAAUUAC